rnacentral:precursor_RNA from 8 species
GAGGCCGGCUAGGCCCGAGCGUGGAGGGCCUGGAAGGCCUGGCUUUGCAGCGUGGACUGGACCCUGCAGACCCGGCCUUGGCAAGCCCUUCCGCUGACGUCUCCACGGCCGGAGC